rnacentral:rRNA from 1 species
CAGGUUACAAAUCUGGCUGUCGUGAUGCCUAAAAAGCAUUGCAUAGCAAGGGCCGGGCAAGACCGGUGCCAGCCGCCGCGGUAACACCGGCGGCUCGAGUGGUAACCGUUAUUAUUGGGUCUAAAGGGUCUGUAGCCGGCCGGAUAAGUCUCUUGAGAAAUCCAGCAGCUCAACUGUUGGGCUUUCAGGAGAUACUGUCUGGCUCGAGGCCGGGAGAGGUGAGAGGUACUUCAGGGGUAGGGGUGAAAUCUUGUAAUCCUUGAAGGACCACCAGUGGCGAAGGCGUCUCACCAGAACGGACCUGACGGCAAGGGACGAAAGCUAGGGGCACGAACCGGAUUAGAUACCCGGGUAGUCCUAGCCGUAAACGAUACUCGCUAGGUGUCGGCCACGGUGCGACCGUUGUCGGUGCCGUAGGGAAGCCGUGAAGCGAGCCACCUGGGAAGUACGGCCGCAAGGCUGAAACUUAAAGGAAUUGGCGGGGGAGCACCACAACGGGUGGAGCUUGCGG